UACGUAGGGGGCAAGCGUUAUCCGGAUUUACUGGGUGUAAAGGGAGCGUAGACGGCCAUGCAAGUCUGAAGUGAAAGGCGGGGGCUUAACCCCCGGACUGCUUUGGAAACUGCAGGGCUGGAGUGCAGGAGAGGUAAGUGGAAUUCCUAGUGUAGCGGUGAAAUGCGUAGAUAUUAGGAGGAACACCAGUGGCGAAGGCGGCUUACUGGACUGUAACUGACGUUGAGGCUCGAAAGCGUG
rnacentral:rRNA from 1 species